rnacentral:rRNA from 1 species
GUUACAAAGCAGCCUGUAUGGGCAUUGAAUAGAUUAGCAUGGGAUAAUAGAAUAGGAUUCUUGUCUAUUUAUUGGUUAUAGACUUAGAAUAAUGAUUAAUAGGGAUAGGUUGGGGGCACUUGUAUUCAAUAGUCAGAGGUGAAAUUCUAGGAUUUAUUGAAGACAAACUUCAGCGAAAGCAUUUGCCAAGGAUGUUUUCAUUAAUCAAGAACGAAAGUUAGGGGAUCGAAGACGAUUAGACACCGUCGUAGUCUUAACUAUAAACUAUGCCGACCAGGGAUAUGAGAGUUUUAUAUUUAUACUAUGAAUAAUAGUAUAAUCUCUUGUGGACCUUGUGAGAAAUCAUAAGUUUUUGGGUUCUGGGGGGGAGUAUGGUCGCAAGGCUGAAACUUAAAAGGAAUUGACGGAGGGGC